CACAGAAGUGAUGACAUUCAAAGAAGGCCUGAGGAAGUAAAGAAAUUCACCGGGCAGAGAAAGAAGGGAAGGACAUUUUACAUCAGAGUGGGAACAGCACGAGCAUAUCAUGGCAGCGAAGAGCAUAUGGCACUUUUAUGAUAGAACGUAAGAUGCAGAGGUGGGAAGGUGGCAGAGGACAUUCAAAAGUGACGUUGCAGUCAUAUUCUGAGGGAUCUGACAGAUGAGCUGUUAAGAAAUAUGGACUCUGUUCUAUCAGUAUUAUGAAAUCAUUGAAUCAUUCAUUCAUUGAAAUGGUAUUUUCGGAGGACUUACUAUGUGCUAAGUACUGUGUCAGCCUCUGAAGAUUAAAAUAAAAAGGAAGGCCCUCCAGGGACUCACAGUCUGGUAGGGAGAAAGGCAGGCAAACAGUCACAGUACGGAUAGCUGAGAAGUCCGUAUCAUUUUCAAUGCUACCAAUGGAUGACUGGAA
rnacentral:lncRNA from 10 species